GGAAAGGAUCUGCUGAAGCAAGUUUUUAUUCUCUCAAUCCCCUUUAUGCUGAAAAGAGAAGGGGAUCGGCUCGAGAUGCUCAUAGCUAGGUGUCUAUGGUGGUGAUUGGUACGUUGGUCUAGCCCAAGCCUGGGUAGGAGAUAUGUAAGGGCUGCCUAGGCUUAGCUAAUACGACUUGUUUGGUUCGCCUGCACAAGGUAAGGCAUUUGUUUUCUUGAUGUUUCGAGUAUAAUCAUGCUUAGCUAAUACGCUUCUCCGUUGAUGUCAAAGUGAAAAAACAUAUGAAACAUCAUGUUUGAUCAAGUAUAGAAAUUUCUCCACAUAAGAAAGUAUAAAAGUUUCUCUGAUUUGAACGAAUGGGAGGAUGUUUGCGUGGGAUUUCCUUUUGGGUGACCUAACGUUAAAAAAAUCAAGCUAUUAAGAGCCCCAUUAAAUUUGCAGUAAGCUACUCGAAGGGCGUGGCCACUGCCCUUUUGGGCAAGCUUGGGCUGCUAGUGAACGAUGAGUCAUCAUGAACUCCCUCCUCCGCAUGCUCAAUUG
rnacentral:lncRNA from 1 species